rnacentral:rRNA from 1 species
UACGUAGGUGGCAAGCGUUGUCCGGAUUUACUGGGUGUAAAGGGCUCGUAGGCGGUCCAUCGCGUCGGGAGUGAAAAGCUGGGGCUUAACCCCAGUCCUGCUUCCGAUACGGGUGGACUAGAGGUAGGUAGGGGAGAUCGGAAUUCCUGGUGUAGCGGUGAAAUGCGCAGAUAUCGUAAGGAAGACCAGUGGCGAAGGCGGGUCUCUGGACAGUUCCUGACGCUGAGGCACGAAGGUCAGGGGAGCAAACGGG